rnacentral:snRNA from 1 species
GUGCUCGCUUUGGCAGCACAUAUACUGCUAUUGGAAUGAUACAGGGAAGAUUAGUAUGGUCCCUGCACAAGGAUGACAUGCAAAUUUGUGAAGUGUUUCAUAAAUUU